CCUACGGGUGGCAGCAGUGAGGAAUAUUGGUCAAUGGGCGCGCGCCUGAACCAGCCAAGUAGCGUGAAGGAUGACUGCCCUACGGGUUGUAAACUUCUUUUAUAAAGGAAUAAAGUGAGGCACGUGUGCCUUUUUGUAUGUACUUUAUGAAUAAGGAUCGGCUAAAUCCGUGCCAGCAGCCGCGGUAAUACGGAGGAUCCGAGCUUUAUCCGGAUUGAUAGGGUUUAAAGGGAGCGUAGAGGGGUUGUUAAGUCAGUUGUGAAAGUUUGCGGCUCAACCGUAAAAUUGCAAUUGAUACUGGCAGCCUUGAUGACAGUUGAGGUAGGCGUAAUUCGUGGGGUAGCGGUGAAAUGCUUAGAUAUCACGAAGAACUCCGAUUGCGAAGGCAGCCUACUAAACUGCCACUGACAUUGAUGCUCGAAAGUGUGGGUAUCAAACAGGAUUAGAUACCCCAGUAGUC
rnacentral:rRNA from 1 species